rnacentral:rRNA from 1 species
AUACGGAGGGUGCGAGCGUUAAUCGGAAUUACUGGGCGUAAAGCGCGCGGAGGUGGUUUGUUAAGUCAGAUGUGAAAGCCCUGGGCUCAACCUGGGAACUGCAUUUGAUACUGGCAGACUAGAGUAUGGUAGAGGGAAGGGGAAUUCCAUGUGUAGCGGUGAAAUGCGUAGAUAUGUGGAGGAACAUCAGUGGCGAAGGCGCCUUCCUGGAUCAAUACUGACGCUGAGGUGCGAAAGCGUGGGGAGCAAACAGGAUUAGAAACCCUAGUAGUCC